rnacentral:lncRNA from 1 species
ACUGAGGUUCAGAGGGCUGGAGAGCUAAUUGCCUGUGGCUGCUUAGCUGGUAAGGAGCAGGACAGGUUGUAAGCUCAGGCCCUUCUGCUCAGAGUUCAGAUUCCCCCACUUUUUUCCCUUCUCUGAGGAACAUUUUCGUCAUCUUCAACCCACCCUCUCUGCCACCCUGUGUGUGUGUACAAGGAACAGGGGAUUGACCGCAGGACCUUGUACUUGCUAGGUAAGUGCUUGAACACUGAGCUACCCCCAGCCCUUUUUAAAAUUUUAUUUUGGCACAGGGUUUCACCAAGUUGCUGAGACUGGUCUCCGUCUUUUGAUCAUCCUGCCUCAGGCUCCUGAGUAGCUGGGAUCUCAGGUGUGCGCCACCACCCCCUGCUGAUGACACUUUCUCUCUAGCCCACCCCACGCUGUUCCACCCUGGGGAUGGUCCCCGUAUGCUCAUCAGGUUCAUCAAUGUUCUUGCUGACCUUUCAUGGCCAGAGAUGCAGGCUCCUUUAGGUGAGAAUAUACACCCAGACAACCUCUUUGGAGGACAAUUUGGCAAUAUCAAAAAUAUAAGUGCAAAGUGCUGAUACGGUUCCAUGGGGAAAGAGUAGUCUCCAACAAAUGGCGCUGGGAGAACUGGAGAGCCACACAGAGUAUAAGGUUGGAGCCCUACCUCACGCCACACAGAGUAUAAGGUUGGAGCCCUACCUCACGCCACAUACAAAAAUUGACUCAGAACAAUCAGCGAACUAAAUGUAAGAACUAAAACUAUAAGACUCCUUGAAGAGAGCAUAAUUAUAAAUUUUCCUGACUUUGAGUUAGACGAUGGUUUCUUAGCUAGAACACUAAAAGCACAAGUGAUAAAAGACAAAAUUAAUUGGUUUCAUUAAUGUUAAAAGCUGGUGAUACAAAGGACACCUUCAGGAUAAGAAAAGGACUCUGAAUAGGAGAAAGUAUUUGCAAGUCACAUGUCUGAUAACAGACUCACAUCUACAAAAUAUAAAGAACUUUCACAACUCAAUAAAAAGACAACCCAAGGGCUGGGGUUGUGGCUCAGUGGUAGAGCGCUAGCCUCGAAUAUGUGAGGCACUGGGUUCGAUUCUUAGCA